GAUGCAAGUGUUACAGAUAAUUUCUCCAAGCCCAACGUGAUGCUUGUUUCAUCAGAACCAACAAUCCCAAACUCUGCUCGGAGACAUUCAAUUCACUGACAUGUACGACAAAGAAAAGCAAGUGUCGCAUUUAAAAUGCUGCGUUUUGCUCGAAAAAUAAGUGAAAUUAUCAACCAGUUAUAGAAAUAAUUGGCAAUUAACGCUCUUACAAUGGAGUAAUCACCCAGCCCAAGGAAUAAAAUGUUAUCAUUACACCGUUAUCAUUAAACCAAAAUACCAAGGCAGCCCGGCAGUUCCUGUGCUUGGUUACAACACUGCUGGUGUGAUGCCAUGCCCUCUUUACUCCCCCAUUGCUCAACAACAACAUGGUCAGACUGGUCCCGUGGGUGAGACUUUCCCACAGCCGGGCAGAAUGUUGGUGAACCGCUCCCCGUUACGGCUAUCCCCUGAUGCCCCGCCCACUCCGCUGUGACUGGUAGGAGCAGAAGUCAGACAGAUCUACCUCUGCCUCAGAAAUCCAUCAUCUGUCAGGAUCGACAGACGAGUUCAGGCCUGAAAACAAAGUGACACAGCAGCUCCUUAUUUAUAAAUCAGAAUGUUUUAAUACGUAUAAAAACAAUGAGAAAGAAC